rnacentral:rRNA from 1 species
AACAGGAUUAGAUACCCUGGUAGUCCACGCUGUAAACGAUGUCGACUUGGAGGUUGUGCCCUUGAGGCGUGGCUUCCGGAGCUAACGCGUUAAGUCGACCGCCUGGGGAGUACGGCCGCAAGGUUAAAACUCAAAUGAAUUGACGGGGGCCCGCACAAGCGGUGGAGCAUGUGGUUUAAUUCGAUGCAACGCGAAGAACCUUACCUACUCUUGACAUCCAGAGAAUUUGCUAGAGAUAGCUUAGUGCCUUCGGGAACUCUGAGACAGGUGCUGCAUGGCUGUCGUCAGCUCGUGUUGUGAAAUGUUGGGUUAAGUCCCGCAACGAGCGCAACCCUUAUCCUUUGUUGCCAGCGAGUAAUGUCGGGAACUCAAAGGAGACUGCCGGUGAUAAACCGGAGGAAGGUGGGGAUGACGUCAAGUCAUCAUGGCCCUUACGAGUAGGGCUACACACGUGCUACAAUGGCAUAUACAAAGAGAAGCGAACUCGCGAGAGCAAGCGGACCUCAUAAAGUAUGUCGUAGUCCGGAUUGGAGUCUGCAACUCGACUCCAUGAAGUCGGAAUCGCUAGUAAUCGUAGACCAGAAUGCUACGGUGAAUACGUUCCCGGGCCUUGUACACACCGCCCGUCACACCAUGGGAGUGGGUUGCAAAAGAAGUAGGUAGCUUAACCUUCGGGAGGGCGCUUACCACUUUGUGAUUCAUGACUGGGGUGAAGUCGUAACAAGGUAACC